AGAGUUUGAUCCUGGCUCAGAUUGAACGCUGGCGGCAGGCCUAACACAUGCAAGUCGAACGGUAACAGGAAGAAGCUUGCUUCUUUGCUGACGAGUGGCGGACGGGUGAGUAAUGUCUGGGAAACUGCCUGAUGGAGGGGGAUAACUACUGGAAACGGUAGCUAAUACCGCAUAACGUCGCAAGACCAAAGAGGGGGACCUUCGGGCCUCUUGCCAUCGGAUGUGCCCAGAUGGGAUUAGCUAGUAGGUGGGGUAACGGCUCACCUAGGCGACGAUCCCUAGCUGGUCUGAGAGGAUGACCAGCCACACUGGAACUGAGACACGGUCCAAACUCCUACGGGAGGCAGCAGUGGGGAAUAUUGCACAAUGGGCGCAAGCCUGAUGCAGCCAUGCCGCGUGUAUGAAGAAGGCCUUCGGGUUGUAAAGUACUUUCAGCGGGGAGGAAGGGAGUAAAGUUAAUACCUUUGCUCAUUGACGUUACCCGCAGAAGAAGCACCGGCUAACUCCGUGCCAGCAGCCGCGGUAAUACGUAGGGUGCAAGCGUUAUCCGGAAUUAUUGGGCGUAAAGGGCUCGUAGGCGGUUCGUUAAGUCAGAUGUGAAAUCCCCGGGCUCAACCUGGGAACUGCAUCUGAUACUGGCAAGCUUGAGUCUCGUAGAGGGGGGUAGAAUUCCAGGUGUAGCGGUGAAAUGCGUAGAGAUCUGGAGGAAUACCGGUGGCGAAGGCGGCUGUCUGGUCUGUAACUGACGCUGAGGCUCGAAAGCAUGGGUAGCGAACAGGAUUAGAUACCCUGGUAGUCCAUGCCGUAAACGAUGAAUGCUAGGUGUUGGAGGGUUUCCGCCCUUCAGUGCCGCAGCUAACGCAUUAAGUAUUCCGCCUGGGGAGUACGGUCGCAAGAUUAAAACUCAAAGGAAUUGACGGGGGCCCGCACAAGCGGUGGAGUAUGUGGUUUAAUUCGAAGCAACGCGAAGAACCUUACCAGGUCUUGACAUCCUUUGACCACUCUAGAGAUAGAGCUUCCCCUUCGGGGGCAAAGUGACAGGUGGUGCAUGGUUGUCGUCAGCUCGUGCCGGGAGAUGUUGGGUUAAGUCCCGCAACGAGCGCAACCCUUAUUGUUAGUUGCCAUCAUUUAGUUGGGCACUCUAGCAAGACUGCCGGUGACAAACCGGAGGAAGGUGGGGAUGACGUCAAAUCAUCAUGCCCCUUAUGACCUGGGCUACACACGUGCUACAAUGGGAAGUACAACGAGUCGCAAAGUCGCGAGGCUAAGCUAAUCUCUUAAAGCUUCUCUCAGUUCGGAUUGUAGGCUGCAACUCGCCUACAUGAAGCCGGAAUCGCUAGUAAUCGCGGAUCAGCACGCCGCGGUGAAUACGUUCCCGGGCCUUGCACUCAACGCCCGUCA
rnacentral:rRNA from 1 species